ACAAAAAGAAUGUGCGAGAAAAAGAUAUGUGAACAAACUCGCCGCUGUCGGGAUCGACCCGCAUGAGACGGAGAAGGAAGAUAUAAGACGACGUGGUCAAAUUGCCUCAGAUCUACAACAUAGUUACCUCCCUAGUGAAACACCACGGAGGAACUUCACGGCCUCAAAUCCACGGACGCGUACAGUCAGAGUGUCAGCGGCUUUUUUCUAAAGGACAUACGAAUCCUUCAGGCUAUCCCCAGAGUCACCACAAGAGAGCACAGCUGGCUGAUUCUCCCACUCACUGCCGAACCUCCCCUGCGUCACACACAGGUGUAAAACCCAAAGCCUUCUCCACAGAUUCAUGCUGUCACGGCUUCUACCAGCCGCCCCAAAUGGGGUCUCACGUUCUGCCAUUUGGGAAAGUGGACUUUAAUGGACUCAUGGGAGCCUGACACCUCAUCCCGGCUUGGUGCCACAUGACAGUGUGACAAAUACUGAGCUCUUAAAUCAUUAAAUUACUGUGUAAAAUGA